UUGAAACCAACGCUGUUGUCAUUGUCUUUUCCUGUUUGCGUUAGCAGCUGUUCUGUGGUUAGCACUAUUUGUGCUCCACUGGCGUUUGUAACAUCUAUCAACGAGUGCGAAAAGGAAAGUGUGUUGGGGUUCAUUUACGGUGUGAAUUAUUUAACCAAUACAAAAGCGGUAACUUAUAUUAGCGUUUGUUUCUUUUCAUCUUCGACACAAUUAAAUUUCCAGGGCGAAAAGAGGAAUGCAGAAGGAGAAAGAUUUCCCAUGUCGUUGUGCAGUUACUUAAUUAAUUUUAUAAAUUAACACCCGUCUCUGAAUGCUUUCAAAUGGAAUUCAACACCAGUACAUCAUCGUCAGAAUCGUCGGCAGAUACACAUAUGUGAGACAAAGGAGUUCAUUUAACCGAUGUUAUAAAAAACAAGAGAUCUGGGAAUUACUAUAUAUCAUCACACGAAGAUUCUGACGAAGACGAUCCUUAUGCGGAUGCAGAAUUUACAGAUGACGAAUAUAUACCACGACGGACAAUAACCCCAAUACCGUCUGAGCCUCUUUGCACCAGAGUGAGCAAAUCAAAAGUUAAGCGCCGACUAUUUACUAAAGAAGGCAGCGAGUGUGGUGGGGAACAAACACACAUCACCCAAAUUAAAAAAGCUUGUAGUAAGAUAAAAAUUUAUAACUCUGGUAAAGUUAUUCUUGAAACUACAGACACAUUUCAUGAAGGGAAGUAUAGUAGUCCAAAAGCUAUAAGGUUAUAUGGCCAUCAUAAAAUUAUCCCAUUGUGUCGAAGUUAAGUUGUUUACAAUAGAAAAGGGUUUAGGGUCGUAAAUAACGUGUCCACUGCAGCUCGACCGGCUGUUGUGGUUUCGUUCAGGGGCGGCUUUCACUAAAUAUGUAAAUCCACCAUUCCAUUAUUUAUUUACUACCUGCAGCCGCUGAGGGUUCCAAAAUAACCACUCGCUUUGAAAGCUGGCCCUGUUAAAUGUGAGCAAGAAAUGUUUAGAAAACGAUUUAUUGCCAACCGGUAAGCUUAGUGCGAACCGCAUAAAGGGGAUAUUUAUUUGUGGUCAACUACUUUUAUGAUGGUCAUAUAACCUUAUAGCUUUUGGACUAGUAUACAAUGUCAGUAUGUUCAGUGCUGGACUGUGUCAUUCUGAUGAAAGAUAUCUGAGUUGUCACGUUUUCGACCAAAGUAUUAAUCACGAUUGUAAAUGUAGGUAUACUUGCUUCCAAAAUAAGAGAGUAAAACUACCUGCAAAACUGACUUGACUUUUAGGGAUUUCCAACCCUAAGCGGUAGGUGGGCCAAUAGGAAUGAUUGACAGCUUGUAACAGGUAUAAUGGAUUAAGCUUAUUAUGAUAUCCUAAAAGUCAAGUCAGUUUUACAUGUAGUUUUACUCUCUUAUUUUGGAAGCAAGUACAAUAAUGAUCACUUAUAGCGAACCCGGUUAAAGCGAACUUCCUGAUAUAACGAACCAACUUGCAAAGUACGAACUGAAGUACUAUAAGAUAAGUGUUAUUUUUUUCCGAUUAUAACGAACCCGCUUAUAGCGAACUUUCGGAUAAAAUGAACCAAAUUUUUAAUAUUUAAGAAAAAAAAAUCGUUUAUAACGAACUUUUUCACCAGUCUCGACAAUGGACAGGAACACUUUUGUGUGAAUCUAUUAGAUCCCGUCAAUUUUAUCAGUAUAGCAUGGCAAAAAGUAUCAGAACAAACAAUUGCUAAUUGUUUUCGACAUGCUGGGUUUCUCCAGUGUGAGGAAAAAUUUGAACCAGGGGUGGGAUUUUGUUUCUACCGAUACGAUACGAUACGAAGCGAUAAAUGACAAGGACGAAAAUAUAAAUUUCAGAUGCGAAAGAAAAAGACGACAUUUUAUCGGUACCGAUAUUUUAUCGUUAUAGAAACAAAAUCCCACCCUAGAAGACGAACUACUAUUGGCUGAAUGGCUGAGUAAGCACGAAAGCAAUUCUGACGAUGAAUUUGAUAUCGACUUCGAAGAAUAUUUUAGUGAAGUCUGAAAUUUUGGAUGAUGCUGCUAUUGUAGAAUUAGUUCAAUGCAACAUUCAAAUAGAAGAUGAGACUGAAGACGAUGAUGAUAACGAAGAAGAAGAAGAAGAAAAAGAGGGAACGAUCCCAAAACCCUCUUAAAUUAAUCUUUCUCACAAGAAGCAACGUAAAAUUUGAGAUUAUUGUAACAACUUUUAUUUUUAAUCAACUUUUAUUAAUCAAGUUUUUUUUUCUUAUAUGUACUACUGUAUUAUUAUCUUUACAUGUUAAUAUUUUUGUAAUACUUUUAAAUGUUGCAUCCUGAAAUACAUAGUUCAGUUUAUGAAAGUAUGUAUUGAUUUUUUUGAGAUCAUUUAUGACGAACUUCGGAUAUAACGAACUACUUUUCCCAGUCCCAUGAGUGCACUGUUAUUUAGAAUCGUCGUAUGGUAAGAACAUUGGUUUUUUUAUAUAGACAAGAAAAAAAUUUAAUAUGUGAUAUACUAUUUUGUAUUCCAUCCAAUAUAGUAUUAGAAGCUACCGAAACAAAAGCAGAUCACAUAAAUCAAAUAAUAACACCUUUAAUAAUGCAGCCUGUAGAUUCUGAACGGAAACCUUCUACAAAAUUGAAAGGACACUAUUGUUACUAUUGCGGUAAAUUAAGAACCUGCAUGGGUCGCCAUUUGCAAAAGGUCCAUGCAAAAGAAGCUGAAGUGAAAAACAUGUGCUUCAAGCCAACAAAGGAGAAAAACAAACUGUUACGUCAGCUUCGAUUGAAAGGUGAUCAAAAAUUUAAUUGCAAGUUAAUUUACAUCAAAGACGAAAACCGAUAAGACAAAAGUUAAGUGAAAGUAUUCACUGCCCCAUUUGUUCUGGUUUGUUUGCAAAACGAAAUUUUGCCAAAGAUGAAUUAAGAUGUUCAAAAAGAGCUCCAGACAGAAGGCGACGGCGGCAAAAUGCUUUAUUUUAGAUCAGGGACAGAUGUCAAAAAGUUUAGAGGAAAAACUUCAUAUUAAACUCGUAAGCAACAUGAUAAAUGAUGAUAUUGGUGUAGUAGCAAAAAAUGAUCAAACAAUACUUUUGCUUGGAAUACAUUUACGCAAGCUAAACUCAUUGAUAACACUAGAUCACAGAUGAGGCGAUGUGCAAAAUUGUUUUUGAUUAUUAAACAGCUGUUUUAUGCCAUCGAAAUACAAAUUAAUAAUGUAGGCCAUACGUACUCUUACAGGUUCUAAAGAUGAAGAGGUUAUCACCACUCCAUCUCUUGCUUUACAGUUCGGUCCAUUAUUGACGAAAAUUGCCUCUCGUUUAAAAAUUCGGCUUCUUGAAAAUAAUGUAGCUGAAUAAGAUCCACGAAUGAUAACGCUUAGAAAUUUUGAAAUGUUACAUAAACAAGAAUUUAAAAAUGAAAUUACUAAAACGGCUUUAAAAACGGCGAACAUUAAAAGUGUUAAAACCACAAAGGAAAUACCAAGUCAGGAUGCUGUAAAAGUGUUCAACGAAUACGUUAAAAAUAUUUUGAGUCAAAGCACAGGACAACUGAAAAGUGGAAAUUUGGACAUUAGAUCCUGGAAGACAUUGGGUGAAUGUAUAUUAUGCGAAAUAAUAAUAUAUAAUCGUAGACGAUUAGGAAGGAGAAAGUUCCCGCAUGCUUUUGGAAGAUUACAAAACAAGAAAACAGCUCUAACAUAAAAAUUAUAAACAUCUUAAUCUCCGUCAACGUAUAUUGGCCGAAAAAUUUUCAUUUAUGUUCAUCUUGGGUAAACGACAUACACCUCUUAAUCUGCUGCUGAAACCAUAUAAAAGCCCUCGAAUUUUAUAUGUCAUUUCGACAGCAAGCACAAAUUCAAGAAAAUAAUGUAUUUCUCUUUGCUUUCAAUAAUAAUAAUGGUCACCUCUAAGCGUCAGUGGCCCUUCGAAAAUUUGUUCAUAACGCUAACCUUAGAACACCCAGAUAGAGCACCCUGGUAUUUACUUAAGGAAGCAAGUAGCUACCCAGGCACAGAUCUUAGAUCUAGCCCAUAAUGAAAUGCAGCACGUGGCAGAUUACAUAGCACAUGAUUUAAAUAUACAUUUGUCGAACUGUAGACUGAAUGAUGCUUCAGUUAACAUUUUUACGUUAUCAAGGUUUUUGAGUGUUAUUGAUGGAGAAGAUGAUAUUGAGAAAUAUCGAGGAAAAAGAUUAGAAGACUUAGAACCGUUUAUUCCUCAUGAAGACUAUGACGUUGGACAUAUGAUUAAUGAUGAACCAAGUAUUGAAAAAAGAAGCACACUACUUGUUAAAACACCGCCGAAGAAACGAAGUCCUCUAAAAGUAGUUAGUUCGACAUCUUCACGAAAUCCAACAACUCAAGAAAUUGAAAGUCAGUUAACAAAUCUGUCAUUACGUUUAUAUCACAGCUCUUUAUGUAAGAGGGGAAGAAAGUUAAAGUGGACUACAGAAGAUAUACAUAUCAUGCAUAGAGAGUUCAAGGAAUAUUUAAAAAAUAAAAGAUUGCCACAACUUUCUCUUCGCAGGCUUAUUCAAAGAAAAUAUUUCCAUAUUUUUCAUAAGGGGCGAUCUGUGGGUGCAAAAUAGAGUCCGAAAUGUUGUUGAGAUCUAAUAAAAUAAAGUGUUGAAUAAAA